UUAUUAUUUAAUAUUGUUGCUUUCUAUUUUUCACUUCAUUUUGUUUCAGGAUCAGUGCUUUAUACUUUCUAAUGUUUGUUGUAACAGGAGGUUCUUAGAGAAGCAACUAAUGAUGGAAGAGAUGGAUAACAUGUUAAACUCAAAUUGGAAAUUAAAGUUAAAGAUGUAAGUGCAUAUAUCAAUGUGUUUCAUGUAUUUUUAUUAACAUUUAAUUUGUAUGCAUUUAUAAUGUAAUAAUGCAUCCAAUUCUAUCUUAUUGGAUACAUAUAUAAAUUACACUAUCAAUGCAAUAAUAAUAAUAAUAAUAAUAAUAAUAAUAAUAAUAAUAAUAAUAAUAAUAAUAAUAGGAUUUUGAGUUUAUUUCUUAGGGUUUGUUUUGUCUUGUAUCUUUUUUUUGGUUCCAGGGUGUGGAUUAUAUAAUUAACAAGGUGUUCUUUUGCGUGUUCGGACAACUAGCACCAGUAAUUCUGAGUUGUGUGAAUAUUUGAUUGAAGAAGGAUCAGAGAGAUUGAUGUUGUUGAUCGACUUAUUACUCCUAAAUUAGUUAUAUCUUUUUUACAAAUAAUUAUUUUUGCUCCUUUCUAACUUUCUUUCCCUGAUAUGGAGUCUCUGUAUUUUGCCUGUGUUGACGAUAAUAUGCUGUAUUUUUCAUGUCUAUCAUGUUAGGAAAAUUUGAUGUCUUCUUAAACCUUUUAACUCUAAGGAUCUUAUAUCUUUUAGAUCGAGGAAACAAUACUCUGUAUUUUC
rnacentral:lncRNA from 1 species